rnacentral:rRNA from 1 species
UACGUAGGGUGCAAGCGUUGUCCGGAAUUAUUGGGCGUAAAGAGCGUGUAGGCGGCCCGAUUAGUCCGCUGUGAAAGUCCAGGGCUCAACCCUGGAAUGCCGGUGGAUACUGUCGGGCUAGAGUCCGGAAGGGGCGAGUGGAAUUCCUAGUGUAGCGGUGAAAUGCGCAGAUAUCAGGAGGAACACCAGGUGGCGAAGGCGGGUCUCUGGGCCGAUGACUGACACUGAGGAGCGAAGACGUGGGGAGCGAACAGG